CUGAUGAUGCCCAGUCACAAUCGCUCCGAGGAAUUCCUUUAAAACUUUAUUUAACCAUGACAGCAGUGCAGAGAGCCAGCUGUCAACGCUGCUGCAGAGGUUUGACACCAGGGUGUCCGGCCAAAAGAAACGAGCGCCAUGGUUACACGCAUGCGCUGUACCAUGUCCCCAAACAGGGAGGAGGGGGGAGGAGGUGCAAAGUGGUAAGGACAACAAAAGGCUGCGGCUGCUCCGCGAAGCCCGCUUUCAACACGGGGACGCCACAGCCGCAAGUACAGACCCGCACAGGAGCUGAAACACAUCAGAUCUCCCCUAAACACUCGACGUGGAAGUGUUCCACUACAAGCAAACAACGGGCGGAUAUUUUAAGCGGUCUGCUUGGCCUCAAACGCAACUGUUCUUCAGGCGCCGAUUUCCUAACAAGAUGGCGGGCACGCCCCUGACAAGCUCUGCGACUCUCCUACGAAGAGUGCGGCUGCCUGCUUCAAACUCCGCGGCGCAGCACACAGCCAAGUCGUUUCAUCCGCUAACAGCAGUUCUGAGGGGGGUCUCAGUGAGGUCGCAGUCGCUCUGCAGACUCUCUGACUCCUACCUUACCAGGUUAAGCGGUGAACAGUCGUAGGUCCUUCGCGCUUGUUUCGGGUCCUCCGCGCCGCUCCCUCCCCGCCUGCUCAGACAUCUUUACAGGGGCCCAGAAUGGACAACUGCGCAGGCGCAACAUUCGGCCCGCCUCCGGCGUCGACGUGUACGAUUCCCUCCGCCAUGUUGGGAAGAACUAUUUUUUAAAUGCUUUGAAGGAAAAUAUGACUGUCAUGUUUUUUAUUAAAAAAAAAAUACAAAUAGGGCCAGUUACAUGUCCCUAAAUAGUGAAAUUGUUCACCACAGCACACAAGCACUUUAAAACGUCUGUUUCAGAGUUGGUGCCAGGUUUAACAAUGCUGCUAUUUUAGGAAAAUAAUGUCAUUAAGAGCACCAAACAAUCAAUAUACCAGGUUCAAGACAUCUAUAUUUCUAUGUUUGCGUUAUUUUUGGUAAGAGCAAAAAUAUUUGGAGCACCCAGGCAUGGAGCUUAACAAUAUGAAGAAAUAAGUUUAAAAGAUUAGCAAUAGUCAAUAAAUGUCUGAAGGUUCUCCAUCCUGGUUAGCUCCAUAUCAACAUUUUAUUUUUUAUAUCACGGUUAUCUGGACCUGGCAUUUCAUAGAGGAUGUGUUGCAUUUUUCAAUCCUGUAACAGUGUAGCCAAGAGUGUGUUUUUAACUCAGAGAAGUAAGACCGCCUAAGUGUGGGUCAUUUGACCUAACAGUCAAUAUAAGCUAUGGUCAGGGCUGCCAUCUAUUCAUAAAAGUGAGACUUAAUGCAGGAAAAAAAAUCACUGUACGCAGACAAGACAUGAGAUACAAAUGUACUUUUGUGAAAGUGUAAUUGUGAAAUAAGGCAUAACACGAUAAAAAAAAAACUGAUUAAUUGAACAGUUAUAAGAAAAAUAAGUAACAUUUUAAAGAGUAACCAUUAACUAUAUAAGAAACCUAGACAGAGUGUGUGAGAUGUCAGCCUUAGAAAACAGUUUACUUCCAACUUCAACCAAAUUUAGUCAAUUCAGAUGUCUUUUUCCCCCAAAAUACAGACACUACCAAUUGGAGCCACAUGGG
ensembl:lncRNA